AACGAACGCUGGCGGCAGGCUUAACACAUGCAAGUCGAGCGCCCCGCAAGGGGAGCGGCAGACGGGUGAGUAACGCGUGGGAACGUACCCUUUGCUACGGAAUAGCUCCGGAAACUGGAAUUAAUACCGUAUGUGCCCUUAGGGGGAAAGAUUUAUCGGCAAAAGAUCGGCCCGCGUCUGAUUAGCUAGUUGGUGGGGUAAUGGCCUACCAAGGCGACGAUCAGUAGCUGGUCUGAGAGGAUGAUCAGCCACACUGGGACUGAGACACGGCCCAGACUCCUACGGGAGGCAGCAGUGGGGAAUAUUGGACAAUGGGCGCAAGCCUGAUCCAGCCAUGCCGCGUGAGUGAUGAAGGCCUUAGGGUUGUAAAGCUCUUUCGCUAGGGAAGAUAAUGACGGUACCUAGAGAAGAAGCCCCGGCUAACUUCGUGCCAGCCGCCGCUGUAAGAC
rnacentral:rRNA from 1 species